AAUCAACGCUGGCGGCGUGCCUCAGACAUGCAAGUCGAACGCGAAAGUCCCCUUCGGGGGACAAGUAGAGUGGCGCACGGGUGAGUAACACGUAGGUAAUCUACCUUCGGAUGGGGAAGUAACAAUCGGAAACGGUUAGCUAAUACCGCAUAAUGCAGCGGCACCUAAUGGUGACAGUUGUUAAAGCGGGGAGUCGAAAGACCUCGCGUCUGAAGAGGAGCCUGCGGCGGA
rnacentral:rRNA from 1 species